rnacentral:rRNA from 2 species
UUGAUAGGCUGGGUGUGUAAGCGUUGUGAGGCGUUGAGCUAACCAGUACUAAUUGCCCGUGAGGCUUGACCAUAUAACACCCAAACA